AAACUUAUUAACUGAGUAAUGUCUCCUCCAAACGACGAAUUCCAACCGAAAGUUAUACACAUCGACCACCGGUAUCGUACCUUCUGUCCCGCCAAUUUAAUUGAGGAAUUUGCUAAUUAUUGAAGAGAAUACUCCAAUGUAAUUAGUGGUAAGGAAAAUUUUUCAUUUGAUUAUACCCUUUAUUAGUUUAAUUGUAUUAGCAAAGUGAUUUUUUAUACAUGGUUUGCUUACAAUAAUGUGUAGUGUUGUAAUUUUGGUCAUUAAUUUAAAACUAAGUUGUGUAGUGC